AAUCAUUUGUCUUUUAAAUGAAGACUUGUAUGAACGGCAAAACCUCCUCCAACUGUCUCCCCUCCCAUCCUUCCAAAUUUCCUCCUGUGUGAAGAAGCACAGAUACACCAGAAAGACGAGAAGACCCUGUCGAGCUUUAACUACUAAGUGGGCCUUACCCUUUCAGGCACCACCCAAAGGUUUUGGUUGGGGCAACCACGGAGAAAAAACAUCCUCCAGAACGAAUAGAAGAAAGCUUUUCACUAUUAUUACGACUAAGAACCAGGAACUGGUAUUCGGAAAGAGUUACCGCAGGGAUAACAGCGUCAUCUCCUCUAAGAGUCCUUAUUGACGAGGAGGUUUGCGACCUCGAUGUUGGAUUGGGGCCCCCUUAGGGUGCAGAAGCUCUAAACGGUUAGACUGUUCGUCUAUUAAAGCCCUACAUGAUCUGAGUUCAAACCGGAG
rnacentral:rRNA from 1 species